rnacentral:rRNA from 1 species
GAGUUUGAUCUUGGCUCAGAUUGAACGCUGGCGGCAUGCCUUACACAUGCAAGUCGAACGGCAGCGUGAUCUAGCUUGCUAGAUUGAUGGCGAGUGGCGAACGGGUGAGUAAUACAUCGGGAACGUGCCCUGUAGUGGGGGAUAACUAGUCGAAAGAUUAGCUAAUACCGCAUACGACCUGAGGGUGAAAGUGGGGGACCGCAAGGCCUCAUGCUAUAGGAGCGGCCGAUGUCUGAUUAGCUAGUUGGUGGGGUAAAGGCCCACCAAGGCGACGAUCAGUAGCUGGUCUGAGAGGACGAUCAGCCACACUGGGACUGAGACACGGCCCAGACUCCUACGGGAGGCAGCAGUGGGGAAUUUUGGACAAUGGGCGAAAGCCUGAUCCAGCAAUGCCGCGUGUGUGAGAAGGCCUCGGUUGUAAGG